rnacentral:rRNA from 1 species
GCGAAGCUACCACGUGUUGGAUUAUGGCUGAACGCCUCUAAGCCAGAAUCCGUGCUAGAAACGAUGAUGUUUGUCCCGCGAAUCUUAGUCGAGUAAAGAUAGAGCUUCGGCUCGUAAACCAUAGUUGAUCGGUCUCGUUGCAGUUGGCGGAAAGGCCUUCUGUUUCUACUGAUGAAUUGCAUUCGAAAUAUCCGCGGGGGUGAAUCCUUUGCAGACGACUUGAAUAGAACGGAGUGCUGUAAGCAGUAGAGUAGCCUUGUUGUUACGAUCUGCUGAGGCUAA